UUUCUAUUUCAGGCUUAUAUACAACCACGUUCUCCGCUGCCUCGGUUUUUGGACGGCUGCUCUCUGGAGACGAAACCAUCGGGCACGCGCCAAGACCAAGUCAUUGUAGCGAAAGAGAUCAUGAUGACAUCGCUGCAGAGCCAGUACGUGAAGCAGCACUGGGUCUGGCUUGGGAGCUGGGACAAACUGUAGGAGCAUCACCAGAGCCAGCGUGUGAGCCGGGCCAUGUAACAGAUAAAUCUUUUCAAGUGCAACUGCUAAUUCGCCAUGAAGCAUCACAAGCAAAUGAAGAGAAAAUUCUGUCAACAAGUGCGACGCAAACAGAGCCUCAAGCUGUUUCUUCAGGUUCCUUGUCAUUUGCGUCCCUGGAGCAGUCUUCUUCUUUGGCGUCUGUGCGAGGUCGACUGCAUUCCUGCCAGCAGUGCACCUAUGUGACCCUGGACGAGUCAUCUAUGAACAGACACCUUCAGAAACACUUAGGGGAGCGCCCCUUACAGUGCCACUUGUGCCCAGCAGCAUUCACUCAAAACUCUAAGCUGGUGGCUCAUGUACGCACCCACACAGGAGAGCGCCCCUUUUCCUGUGUCCACUGCAAUGCAUCGUUUGCGAUGAAAAGCCACCUCAAUGAGCACAGGCGCACGCACACAGGAGAGCGUCCCUAUUCCUGUGCCCACUGCAAUGCAUCAUUUGUGAUGAAAAGCCACCUUGUUGAGCACAUGCGUAUUCACACAGGAGAGCGUCCCUUCAUCUGUGACCACUGUAGUGCAUCCUUCUUGCAGAAAAACCACCUUGUCAGACACAUCCGCACGCACACAGGAGAGCGCCCCUAUUCCUGUGUUCACUGCAAUGCAUCCUUUUCGAUGAAAGGCUACCUUGUUGAGCACAUGCGCACUCACACAGGUGAGCGUCCCUUCUCCUGUGUCCACUGCAAUGCAUCCUUUUCACGGAGAAGUGGCCUCAUGAAACACAUUCCGCACAGCACUCAGGAGAGCGUCCCUUCUCCUGUACCCACUGCAGUGCAUCUUUUGUGAU
rnacentral:misc_RNA from 1 species